rnacentral:rRNA from 1 species
AGUCGAACGAGAAACGGAUCUAGCUUGCUAAAUUGCAGUCUAAGUGGCGCACGGGUGAGUAAUGUAUAGGUAACAUGCCUUUUAGUAGGGGAUAACAGAUGGAAACGUCUGCUAAUACCCUAUAUUCCUUAUUAGCGUAAGUGUGUAAGGGAAAGAUUUAUUGCUAAAAGAUUGGCCUAUAUUGUAUCAGCUAGUUGGUAGUGUAAUGGACUACCAAGGCUAUGACGCAUAACUGGUUUGAGGGGAUGAUCAGUCACACUGGAACUGAGACACGGUCCAGACUCCUACGGGAGGCAGCAGUGGGGAAUAUUGCACAAUGGGGGAAACCCUGAUGCAGCAACGCCGCGUGGAGGAUGACACAUUUCGGUGCGUAAACUCCUUUUAUAAGAGAAGAUAAUGACGGUAUCUUAUGAAUAAGCACCGGCUAACUCCGUGCCAGCAGCCGCGGUAAUACGGAGGGUGCAAGCGUUACUCGGAAUCACUGGGCGUAAAGAGCGUGUAGGCGGAUUUGUAAGUUGGGAGUGAAAGCCUAUGGCUCAACCAUAGAACUGCUUCCAAAACUGCAUGUCCAGAGUGUGGGAGAGGUAGAUGGAAUUUCUGGUGUAGGGGUAAAAUCCGUAGAGAUCAGAAGGAAUACCGAUUGCGAAGGCGAUCUACUGGAACAUAACUGACGCUGAGACGCGAAAGCGUGGGGAGCAAACAGGAUUAGAUACCCUGGUAGUCCACGCCCUAAACGAUGUACACUAGUUGUUGUGAGGUUCGACCUUGCAGUAAUGCAGUUAACACAGUAAGUGUACCGCCUGGGGAGUACGGUCGCAAGAUUAAAACUCAAAGGAAUAGACGGGGACCCGCACAAGCGGUGGACCAUGUGGUUUAAUUCGAAGAUACGCGAAGACCCUUACCUGGCCUUGACAUUGAAAGAAUCCUGUAGAGAUACGGGAGUGCUAGCUUGCUAGAGCUUGAAACCAGGUGCUGCMCGGCGUUCUUCAGUUCGUUUCGUGAGAUGUUGGGUUAAUUCCCGCAACGAGCCCAACCCACGUCGUUAGUUCUUACCAGUUAGCUUGAGAAUUCUACCGAGACGCCUUUGGUAAGGAGGAGGAAGGGGAGGAGGACGCCAAGUCUUCAUGGCCCUUAGGUCCAGGGCUCCCCCCGUGUUCCAAUGGGGUAUCCAAGGACCACCAAUCCGGUGACGUGGACCAAUUUUCAUAAAAGCCCUCCCAGUUCGGAUGGUGGUCUGCAAUUGGCCUCCAGAAGUGGAAUCGUUAGUAUUGGAAAUCAGCAU